UAAUUUUACGCAGACCACUUCAACCCGGGAACGCCUUUCAAACAAUGAACUAUAUAUAGUACAGAGUUCGAGGGAGGUGGGAAGGCGCGGUAUAGGGCCAUAUAUUCUUAUUUAACAUUUCGACACCCAAGCACACACACACAUUUGACAAGACUUUCGUAUAGGAGUUUUGGCCCUUAAGUGAAGACCCAUUAAAAGAUACUAAAGCGUGUUCAGUUUACGAUAAAUAACAGCGUCUAUCCUUUAUAAAGUAAUAUAUUGCUCAUCCUUCACUCCGACUUUCAAGAGGAGGCCGAUAUCUAUUUAGUUUUAUUAUAGUAUAUCAACUGUACAAGUGAGCUUAUUCUUCUUGGUGGUGGGGUGGGGAGGAUGGGGGUUCGAUACCAGGCCGAGGCAGCAGAACCACUCGGAGACAUCCCAAGGUGAAUGUGUGCAUGGAAACAAUGACGUCACGAAGGCCAGUCACCCACUUAGUAGGUUGACGACAGCGUGGUUUGUAUACCCACCAUCACCUCUCUGAAUUCCAUAAGGCUGUGCGCAAGGAAACAAUAAUUACGUCAAGAAGGCCAGCUACUCACUCCCUUCUGUUUUGUUGUUUCCUUGCAACAAUAAACUAUCAAUCAAUCACUCAUUAGGUUGACGAUAGCGAGGUUUUUCCACCGACUAUAAUCACUACUCUCUUCUCCAUAAGGCUGUACGCUUUUAUGAGACAGGAAAUAGUUUGACAAGGUAUAUCCAUGGGUAGUUUUAUGAGACAGGAGAUAGUUUGACAAGGUAUAUCCAUGGGUAGUUUUAUGAGACAGGAGAUAGUUUGACAAGGUAUAUCCAUGGGUAGUUUUAUGAGACAGGAGAUAGUUUGACAAGGUAUAUCCAUGGGUAGUUUUAUGAGACAGGAGAUAGUUUGACAAGGUAUAUCCAUGGGUAGUUUUAUGAGACAGUGGAUAGUUUGACAAGGUAUAUCCAUGGGUAGUUUUAUGAGACAGGAGAUAGUUUGACAAGGUAUAUCCAUGGGUAGUUUUAUGAGACAGGAGAUAGUUUGACAAGGUAUAUCCAUGGGUAGUUUUAUGAGACAGGAGAUAGUUUGACAAGGUAUAUCCAUGGGUAGUUUUAUGAGACAGGAGAUAGUUUGACAAGGUAUAUCCAUGGGUAGUUUUAUGAGACAGGAGAUAGUUUGACAAGGUAUAUCCAUGGGUAGUUUUAUGAGACAGGAGAUAGUUUGACAAGGUAUAUCCAUGGGUAGUUUUAUGAGACAGGAGGUAGUUUGACAAGGUAUAUCCAUGGGUAGUUUUAUGA